UUCCGGUUGAUCCUGCCGGACCUGACUGCUAUCGGAUUGAUACUAAGCCAUGCGAGUCUUUGUAGUAAUACAAGGCAGACGGCUCAGUAACACGUAGUCAACCUACCCUAUGGACGAGAAUAAUCUCGGGAAACUGAGCAUAAUUCUUGAUAGAUCAUAAUGCCUGGAAUGGUUUAUGGUUAAAAUGAUUCGUCGCCAUAGGAUGGGACUGCGGCCUAUCAGCUUGUUGGUGAGGUAAUGGCCCACCAAGGCGAUUACAGGUACGGGCUCUGAGAGGAGAAGCCCGGAGAUGGGUACUGAGACACGGACCCAGGCCCUAUGGGGCGCAGCAGGCGAGAAAACUUUGCAAUGUGCGAAAGCACGACAAGGUUAAUCCGAGUGAUUUCUGCUAAAGAAAUCUUUUGCCAGUCGUAAAACCGCUGGUGAAUAAGGGGUGGGCAAGUUCUGGUGUCAGCCGCCGCGGUAAAACCAGCACCUCAAGUGGUCAGGAUGAUUAUUGGGCCUAAAGCAUCCGUAGCCGGCUUUGUAAGUUUUCGGUUAAAUCCAUGUGCUCAACGCAUGGGCUGCCGAAAAUACUGCAUAGCUAGGGAGUGGGAGAGGUAGACGGUACUCAGUAGGUAGGGGUAAAAUCCUUUGAUCUAUUGAUGACCACCUGUGGCGAAGGCGGUCUACCAGAACACGUUCGACGGUGAGGGAUGAAAGCUGGGGGAGCAAACCGGAUUAGAUACCCGGGUAGUCCCAGCUGUAAACGAUGCAGACUCGAUGAUGCAUUGGCAUAUAGCCAGUGCAGUGUCGCAGGGAAGCCGUUAAGUCUGCCGCCUGGGAAGUACGUACGCAAGUAUGAAACUUAAAGGAAUUGGCGGGGGAGCACCACAAGGGGUGAAGCCUGCGGUUCAAUUGGAGUCAACGCCGGG
rnacentral:rRNA from 1 species